rnacentral:rRNA from 1 species
CCGACGGUGAGGGAUGAAGGCUGGGGGAGCAAACCGGAUUAGAUACCCGGGUAGUCCAGGGCGUAAACGCUGCAGGCUUGGUGUUGGGGGCCCUACGUGGGCGCUCAGUGCCGGAGUGAAGAUGUUAAGCCUGCCGCUUGGGGAGUAUGUCCGCAAGGAUGAAACUUAAAGGAAUUGGCGGGAGAGCACAGCAACGGGAGGAGCGUGCGGUUCAAUUGGAUUCAACGCCGUAAAACUCACCGGGAGC